GAUGAACGCUGGCGGCGUGCCUAAUACAUGCAAGUCGAACGGAGAUUGUAGCAAUACGGUCUUAGUGGCGAACGGGUGAGUAACGCGUUGGUAACCUGCCCCGAAGCGUGGGAUAACGGUCCGAAAGGACCACUAAUACUACAUGUGAUCCCGAGGAAUAGAUACUUGGGAUGAAAGGAGCAAUUCGCUUCGGGAGGGACCUGCGUCCCAUCAGCUAGUUGGUAGGGUAACGGCCUACCAAGGCGAUGACGGGUAGGGGACCUGAGAGGGUGGCCCCCCACAAUGGAACUGAAACACGGUCCAUACACCUACGGGUGGCAGCAGUAGGGAAUAUUGGUUAAUGUGCGAAAGCGCGAACCAGCAACGCCGCGUGUGCGAUGAAGGCCUUCGGGUCGUAAAGCACUUUUUGCAGGGAAGAGGAAGGACGGUACCUGCAGAAUAAGUCUCGGCUAACUACGUG
rnacentral:rRNA from 1 species